CAGCCGCCACGGUAAUACGUAGGGUGCGAGCGUCAAUCGGAAUUACUGGGCGUAAAGCGUGCGCAGGCGGUUGUGUAAGACAGGUGUGGAAUCCCCGGGCUUAACCUGGGAACUGCGCUUGUGACUGCACAGCUAGAGUAUGGCAGAGGGGGGUGGAAUUCCACGUGUAGCAGUGAAAUGCGUAGAGAUGUGUAGGAACACCGAUGGCGAAGGCAGCCCCCUGGGCCAAUACUGACGCUCAUGCACGAAAGCUAGGGGAGCAAAUGGGAUUAGAUACCCCCGUAGUCCCUGUCUCUUAUAC
rnacentral:rRNA from 1 species